UCCCUACAGCAACUGCUGCAGUAUCACAAAAGGUUACCAAAAGCAGUUAAAGAAGUCGGUUUUCAUUAAAGAUAUUGGUUUCAAAAUUGAACGCCAUUGGCAAAAUGCUUACAAAAUUAGGCUAUGCUUGGCUCUUUGGUGCUGUAAAUGGUAGCUUUAAUUUUUUUUUUUUAAGAAAAAUAUGUUUUAUAUAUGCUUCUGUUUUAAAAUAUUUUUGUUACUUAUUUAAAUAUAUAUCAUGUAAAUAAA